AUUGAACGCUGGCGGCAUGCCUUACACAUGCAAGUCGAACGGUAACGGGCCUUCGGGUGCCGACGAGUGGCGAACGGGUGAGUAAUGUAUCGGAACGUACCUUUCAGUGGGGGAUAACGUAGCGAAAGUUACGCUAAUACCGCAUAUUCUGUGAGCAGGAAAGCAGGGGAUCGCAAGACCUUGCGCUGAUUGAGCGGCCGAUAUCAGAUUAGCUAGUUGGUGAGGUAAAGGCUCACCAAGGUGACGAUCUGUAGCGGGUCUGAGAGGAUGAUCCGCCACACUGGAACUGAGACACGGUCCAGACUCCUACGGGAGGCAGCAGUGGGGAAUUUUGGACAAUGGGGGCAACCCUGAUCCAGCCAUGCCGCGUGAGUGAAGAAGGCCUUCGGGUUGUAAAGCUCUUUCGGCCGGGAAGAAAUCGUAUGGGUUAAUACCCUGUGCGGAUGACGGUACCGGCAUAAGAAGCACCGGCUAACUACGUG
rnacentral:rRNA from 1 species